UACGUAGGGGCCUAGCGUUGUCCGGAAUUAUUGGGCGUAAAGAGCUCGUAGGCGGUUCGGCAAGUCGGAUGUGAAAUCUCCACGCUCAACGUGGAGGGGCCAUUCGAAACUGCCGUGACUCGAGUCCGGUAGGGGAGUGUGGAAUUCCCGGUGUAGGCGGUGAAAUGCGCAGAAUAUCGGGAGGAACACCAGUAGCGAAGGCGGCACUCUGGGCCGGUACUGACGCUGAGGAGCGAAAGCGUGGGGAGCGAACAGG
rnacentral:rRNA from 1 species